rnacentral:rRNA from 1 species
UGGGGGAUAUUGCACAAUGGGCGAAAGCCUGAUGCAGCAACGCCGCGUGAGGGAAGACGGUUUUCGGAUUGUAAACCUCUGUCUUUGGUGACGAUAAUGACGGUAGCCAAGGAGGAAGCCACGGCUAACUACGUGCCAGCAGCCGCGGUAAUACGUAGGUGGCAAGCGUUGUCCGGAAUUACUGGGUGUAAAGGGUGCGCAGGCGGGAGCGCAAGUUGGAUGUGAAAUACCGGGGCUUAACCCCGGAGCUGCAUCCAAAACUGUGUUUCUUGAGUGAAGUAGAGGUAGGCGGAAUUCCGAGUGUAGCGGUGAAAUGCGUAGAUAUUCGGAGGAACACCAGUGGCGAAGGCGGCCUACUGGGCUUUAACUGACGCUGAGGCACGAAAGCAUGGGGAGCAAACAGGAUUAGAUACCCUGGUAGUCCAUGCUGUAAACGAUGAAUACUAGGUGUGGGGGGUCUGACCCCUUCCGUGCCGGAGUUAACACAAUAAGUAUUCCACCU